rnacentral:lncRNA from 1 species
GGAAGACAGAGGUUUUCCCUGUACACACCUCUGCCUGCACCUGCUUCUUAAAGGAUGCUUCUCAGGCACUGUGACAUGGCAACAUGCCUUAUUAUCAUCAAUAUGAUGUAUAUUAUUGCUUGGGGCAUUUUACUGAUCAUGUGAAUACCAACCAUCCACAAGAGCCAUGUAUGUUAAGUGCUGUUGUGAUGCUCUGAGGGAACGGAGAUCUUGGAGGCAUAAAUCCGGAGUUCUAAAGUUAUUUCUCAGUACCUGUGUAGUUCUCACAGGCUUAUAGGACUUUGGGAGUGAAAAAGUCAGCUCUCCCUCUUUCAUUUUAGGAUGGGGAUAGCUCCUUUGCAUGCGCUUUUCUAUCUGUAAAAUGGGAUUAUGUAAUAUCAUAAUAUCAUCUUUCUACAAACUUCAGGAGGUUUAAGAUCCUUCAGGGACUUCAAAUUACAUAUUGUGUUUAAAAUACUUUGUCACCUUAGUCUACUGCAGAUGUGUAAGGUUUUAUGAACACCUGGGAUACUUAAUUAGCCAGCAGACACGAUUCUUCACAGUGCUGGAUCAUAGAGAAAUGGCCAUUUUGCACAGGGCCCUGCAAAGUGUGUGGCUGGCCCUGAUUCCAGGGACCAAAGAACGACCGUUCACCUUCCAUAUUUCACAGAUGCGUCCACGUAGACAUUCACACAUACGUGCAAAAGUGUGCAUGUGUGUCUAUGUAUUUGUGACAGACAAGAAGCAUCUAUCCUAAUAGAGAUGGACAGAAAUAAUACCAUGCCUGUGUGGUGAUAGAAGGGAAGCACCAGAAAAAGAAGCCUUCAUAAUGCAAGAGAGAUAAGAAACCAGCCAGACCAAUAUUCUCAAGCAGGCAAGAUCUGAUGAUAUUCAAUGCAAAAUAGAGGAGUUAAGCUUGGAUAGGGACAUGGGCAGUUAGCUCAUAGUGAUGAGAGAGAAA